rnacentral:misc_RNA from 1 species
GAAAUGCGAUAAGUAGUGUGAAUUGCAGAAUUCAGUGAAUCAUCGAAUCUUUGAACGCACAUUGCGCCCGCCAGUAUUCUGGGGGGCAUGCCUGUUCGAGCGUCAUUUCAACCAUCAAGCCCCCGGGCUUGUGUUGGGGACCUGCGGCUGCCGCAGGCCCCGAAAACCAGUGGCGGGCUCGCUGUCACACCGGGCGUAGUAGAUUUUUCGUCUCGCCCAGGGCGUGCUGCGGGUUCCGGCCGUUAAAAAGCCUCUCUUUUAACCCAAGGUUGACCUCGGAUCAGGUAGGAAGACCCGCUGAACUUAAGC